GACAGCCAGUAAGUUCCUCAAUCAUGGAUAGUAAUGGCAACAUCACUAACAUCACUCUUCUGUUUAGCUUUUGCUGGUUGGGCAUUCAGCAGCAGUAGUAUCCACAUUAGCUUGUUUGAAGGAAAUUCAUGUUAGUCCUAGGAAUAACAUCCAUUUCUACCAUUCUUUUGAACUGGAAGCUGAAACAGAGGUGUGCUCAGUAGGCCCACACCCACAGGAGGGUAUGACAGAGGACUGCUUAAGCCCAGGAGUUCCAGGAUACCCUGAACAACAUAUCAAGAUGGAGGAGGGGCAAGUGGGGAGAUAGAAUAUUUAUUCACAGGCUGAGUGUGGCUCAGUAAUAGAGUGCUUACCUAGCACAAUAAAGGUCCUGGGCUACCCUCACAAUGCAUCCAUUAAAUAAUAAAUAUGAAAAUUAAAGACACUUAAGAGAACUAAGAAAAGAAACAAAUUCAGAGAGGGAUACUUUAUUCAGAAAUAUCUCUGCACUAUGUACAGCCAGAAGUUUGAGAAGUUGUGCUCCAUGGUAAAUACAGAAAUGGUAAAUACACAUCAACACAAAUUACCCAUUCUAGAUAUGAAAAAUAAAUUGAAAAAAAAUUUAAAUGAAGCCUUUGCACUUUAGGGACAAUUACAAGCUCUAACAUCCAUAUCAGAGUCCCAGAAGGUCUGAGAAAAAAAGUAGUUGAAAAUAUAUUUGAAGAAAGAAUGUUGCUUACCUCAAAUAUAAAUUUCCUAAUGUGAAACUGGGACAUUUGGUUGGAACCCAGAUGAAACGGACACUAUUGAAAACCCUAGACGCUGAGGCUUCCCUUGGCUUGCAGAGGGGUAUUUUCUUUCUGCAUGCCCAUACAGUCUUUCCUCUGAAUGUGAGUAUCCC
rnacentral:lncRNA from 1 species